AUACUUACCUUAAGAUGUCAACAGAGAUCAUGAAGUUUGUUGACCGGGUAUGAGGUUUUCAAGGAAAUACCGGAAUGGUAUUGUUUUCUCGGAGAUGAUACUUACAGCUUUUACAUUUACAUUUUAUCUGUACGGUUUUCCUGCAAUCCACACAUAUUUGGCAAACCUGGUACCUGCUGACAUUUCGUUCUCCCGUUACUUUUUUGGAGGCCUUGGUUUAACCUCGACUCCACUAGAGUAGCCCUUUUUUCCUUCUGCCUGGAGAAGAAUGGUACUGAUUACAAGUCAGUGCUGGGAGAGUCAUCGCUGUGGCCAGUUUAGUUUCAUUUUAAUGAUCUGGGCUCAAGGAAUGUCAUGAAAGGCUGACUUACUAGUCUCUGAUCUAUUCAUUAACUUGUUUACAGGUUUAUGGGUGAGAGGUAGAAACUUUGAGUCAGAAAUUCUGUCAUUUCUCCGGUUCAGGAAACUUGUUCAGAAAGGCUGCAUCCGUGGUAGAAAUGGGUGGAUCUUAUAAUUUUUGAGUAUUUC
rnacentral:snRNA from 15 species